GUGAGGAAUAUUGGUCAAUGGACGAGAGUCUGAACCAGCCAAGUCGCGUGAAGGAAGACGGUUCUAUGAAUUGUAAACUUCUUUUGUGCAGGAAUAAAGUGGGUUACGUGUAACCUUUUGUAUGUACUGUACGAAUAAGGAUCGGCUAACUCCGUGCCAGCAGCCGCGGUAAUACGGAGGAUCCGAGCGUUAUCCGGAUUUAUUGGGUUUAAAGGGUGCGUAGGUGGAUUGAUAAGUCAGCGGUGAAAGUUUGCAGCUUAACUGUAAAAUUGCCGUUGAAACUGUCGGUCUUGAGCGCAAAUGAGGUAGGCGGAAUGUGUUGUGUAGCGGUGAAAUGCUUAGAUAUAACACAGAACUCCGAUUGCGAAGGCAGCUUACUGGGAUGCAACUGACACUGAUGCACGAAAGCGUGGGUAUCAAACAGGAUUAGAAACCCCAGUAGUCC
rnacentral:rRNA from 1 species